rnacentral:snoRNA from 1 species
UGUUGAAUGAUGAAAAAAAUCAUUCGGAUUCCCAAUGAUUUUACAAGAUGAUCUUACAACCAGCUACUUCUGACAGCA